rnacentral:rRNA from 1 species
AUUGAACGCUGGCGGCAGGCCUAACACAUGCAAGUCGGACGGUAGCACAGGGGAGCUUGCUCCCCGGGUGACGAGUGGCGGACGGGUGAGUAAUGUCUGGGAAACUGCCUGAUGGAGGGGGAUAACUACUGGAAACGGUAGCUAAUACCGCAUCACGUCGCAAGACCAAAGAGGAGGACCUUCGGGCCUCUUGCCAUCAGACGUGCCCAGAUGGGAUUAGCUAGUAGGUGGGGUAACGGCUCACCGAGGCGACGAUCCCUAGCUGGUCUGAGAGGAUGAACAGCCACACUGGAACUGAGACACGGUCCAGACUCCUACGGGAGGCAGCAGUGGGGAAUAUUGCACAAUGGGCGCAAGCCUGAUGCAGCCAUGCCGCGUGUAUGAAGAAGGCCUUCGGGUUGUAAAGUACUUUCAGCGGGGAGGAAGGUGUUGUGGUUAAUAACCACAGCAAUUGACGUUACCCGCAGAAGAAGCACCGGCUAACUCCGUGCCAGCAGCCGCGGUAA